rnacentral:tRNA from 1 species
UCUAAAGUGACAGAUAAGUGUAAUGAGUUUAAACUUCAUAAAUAAAGAAUUUUAAUUCUUUCUUUAGAA